rnacentral:rRNA from 1 species
GCAACCUGCCUAUAAGACUGGGAUAACUUCGGGAAACCGGAGCUAAUACCGGAUACGUUCUUUUCUCGCAUGAGAGAAGAUGGAAAGACGGUUUCGGCUGUCACUUAUAGAUGGGCCCGCGGCGCAUUAGCUAGUUGGUGAGGUAAUGGCUCACCAAGGCGACGAUGCGUAGCCGACCUGAGAGGGUGAUCGGCCACACUGGGACUGAGACACGGCCCAGACUCCUACGGGAGGCAGCAGUAGGGAAUCUUCCGCAAUGGACGAAAGUCUGACGGAGCAACGCCGCGUGAACGAAGAAGGCCUUCGGGUCGUAAAGUUCUGUUGUUAGGGAAGAACAAGUACCAGAGUAACUGCUGGUACCUUGACGGUACCUAACCAGAAAGCCACGGCUAACUACGUGCCAGCAGCCGCGGUAAUACGUAGGUGGCAAGCGUUGUCCGGAAUUAUUGGGCGUAAAGCGCGCGCAGGUGGUUCCUUAAGUCUGAUGUGAAAGCCCACGGCUCAACCGUGGAGGGUCAUUGGAAACUGGGGAACUUGAGUGCAGAAGAGGAAAGUGGAAUUCCAAGUGUAGCGGUGAAAUG